UGCGUAGGCGGUUUGGUAAGUCUUGUGUGAAAUCUCCAGGCUCAACUUGGAGACUGCACGAGAAACUGCCGGGCUUGAGUAUGGGAGAGGUGAGUGGAAUUCCUGGUGUAGCGGUGAAAUGCGUAGAUAUCAGGAGGAACACCUGUGGCGAAAGCGGCUCACUGGACCAUAACUGACGCUGAUGCACGAAAGCUAGGGGAGCAAACAGGAUUAGAUACCCUGGUAGUCCUAGCCCUAAACGAUGACUGCUUGGUGUGGCGGGUACCCAAUCCCGCCGUGCCGUAGCUAACGCGUUAAGCAGUCCGCCUGGGGAGUACGGUCGCAAGGCUGAA
rnacentral:rRNA from 1 species